AACACAACAGCCUACUGGUACAAGCCACAGACACACAAAGGUAAGCCAAACAGAUACUUAAGCCAAACAUAGUGACGCAAGCCUGUAACCUGAGUUCGAGGCCAGCCUGGGACAUAGAAGCUCUGUCUCUAAACCAAGCAGGGACUGGGGUUGUGGCUCAGUUAGUGCUAUUUGCCUACCACAGACAACACACUUAGUUCAAACUCCACUACCACACAAAACUGGAUGCAGUAGUGCUCCCAGCACUCGGGAUAAGGGGAAGGGGGAUCAGAAGUUCAAAGCCUCCUCGGGAGAGCCGUCUCCCGAUGACCACGAGAUCCCGACAUGCUUGUCAUUAAAGGUGUUGGUUUACCACAGCAUGGAACUCAGAUGGAGCAAGAUCAGCUCUGUGACUGCUACUCGCGUAGCAUGUCUGUUUCCUUGCAAAGGACAAUUCAGUGAAUACCCUGAGCAGACGAGGACAUGUGCUGCUGCAAUGGUGCUUACCAUCCUGGUCACGGCCCACAGCCUAGGUGCUCACCAGCCCAGGUGCUCACCAUCCCAGGAGCUCACCGUCCUACGUGCUCCACCCCAUCCUAGAUGCUCCACAUCCCAGGAGCUCACCGUCCCAGGUGCUCCACCCCAUCCUAGAUGCUCCACAUCCCAGGAGCUCACCGUCCCAGGUGCUCCACCCCAUCCUAGAUGCUCCACAUCCCAGGAGCUCACCGUCCCAGGUGCUCCACCCCAUCCUAGAUGCUCCACAUCCCAGGAGCUCACCGUCCCAGGUGCUCCACCCCAUCCUAGAUGCUCCACAUCCCAGGAGCUCACCGUCCCAGGUGCUCCACCCCAUCCUAGAUGCUCCACAUCCCAGGAGCUCACCGUCCCAGGAACUCACCGUCCCAAUGAGCGGCCCACAUUCCAGAGUACCCCUUAGCAGACAAUACAGAUGCCAAAGGCAAGAUGUCUCCUGUACCUCAGGGCUUAAGCCUCUACUGGUC